CCAGAACCUCGCCAAUAGCCAAGCAAGCUAUUGCACCUGAACACAACUUCCUGGCAGUCUCCUCCAAAAGGACUCUGUCUAAGAAAGUGGCUUCCAUGAAGGCGGCUUUGCUCCGUGAGCAUCUGACUCAGUUGGAUGUACAGAAGUGAGUCUCAAGGAAUCAGCGGGAGAAGACGGGAAGCCCAGUGCCUGACAGGGCAGAAGAGUCUGGAGAGGACAUAAUAGCCCACGGGGGAGGGAUAAUACCCCCAAUUUACAGACAAAGAAACUGAGGCUCAGGAAGAUGAAAUAAUCUGGUGGAGGACAUAUAGGUGGGCAGCUGAAUCAGUUCCAUAGGAGGCUUCUGGGGGAAAUGCAUCCUGGAGAUUCACAAUUUGCACCUUCGACAGUAUGUUAAAGGCGCUGAG